AAGUCGUAACAAGGUUUCCGUAGGUGAACCUGCGGAAGGAUCAUUAUUGUAUAAUGUGCUAAUCCACAUAUACCCAUUCUCCGUGCACAACAAGUUGAUGCGUUUCCGUUUGCAAUCGGCUGUUGGUGGCUAGUUACGUGCUGGCCGAAUCGCCAACUGGCCGGUUGCAAACGUGUGUCAUCUAAAAAAACUUAAUUUACACCUUGUACCUUCCAAUGGACUGACCUUCGGGAAGCAGCGCCUGCAUAAGGUGCUCUUCUUGCCAUAGAUACGUAAAGAGAAAGAACAACUCUUAACAACGGAUAUCUUGGCUCUC
rnacentral:misc_RNA from 1 species